CCUAUUCAUACUCCAAACAACUCACCGUCUCCACAUAAAGCUUGUAAGAGCUUGUAGCUAUGUCUAUUGUCUAUUUUUUCAGUAAGACAAUAAAAAAGAACCGACCGCUGAUGACUAAAGCAUUGUUACACCCCAGAUUGAACCCUGCCAAAAUGGAUGUUGGGGUUAAUGUUAAUCGUUAAGUCGGUGAGAUAACUCCUGUUUAGAGUCCGGCCUUGCUCUGAAGUCUAGCAUCUAUAAAGUCUUGCGUCAGCUCACGCAUGAAAACCACUGCUUGCAGAGGCACUCAUGGUGACAUCGGGGACAAGCCUACAUAUGAAACGAUAUAGCGACUGAACCUUGGAUCCCUACAACACGAAUUCAAAAUCAAAAUAAGAAGAAGACAAGAAUCGAUAAGGAAGAUGGGUGCACGUAGGCAGCGCAUAGCAACAGACUCGGCAGGAAGUACACUGAUAAAAGCGACCCUUCAAACAGUGCGACAUUAGUCCCAAGACAGUAACUGAUGCUCAAGAUUUUUAAUUUACAUUUGUUGCUUGGAAUAGAGAAACCCGAGAAAAUCCCCAGUGAUCUUAAACAUUCUUAAAAUUCCUCAAAGUCACCAAACGUAGCGAUUGGUGAAAUUGGCAGCGUCAAUUUGGCUUAAUGGCAAAAUCGUCCCUAUAUAAUUAAAAUUUUAUUCCAUAAUAAAUAAUUUCUGCUCU